rnacentral:rRNA from 1 species
UGGGGAAUUUUGGACAAUGGGCGAAAGCCUGAUCCAGCAAUGCCGCGUGUGUGAAGAAGGCCUUCGGGUUGUAAAGCACUUUUGUCCGGAAAGAAAUCCUCUGGGUUAAUACCUCGGGGGGAUGACGGUACCGGAAGAAUAAGCACCGGCUAACUACGUGCCAGCAGCCGCGGUAAUACGUAGGGUGCAAGCGUUAAUCGGAAUUACUGGGCGUAAAGCGUGCGCAGGCGGUUUUGUAAGACGGAUGUGAAAUCCCCGGGCUUAACCUGGGAACUGCAUUCGUGACUGCAAGGCUAGAGUAUGGCAGAGGGGGGUAGAAUUCCACGUGUGAACAGUGAAAUGCGUAGAGAUGUGGAGGAAUACCGAUGGCGAAGGCAGCCCCCUGGGCCAAUACUGACGCUCAUGCACGAAAGCGUGGGGAGCAAACAGGAUUAGAUACCCUGGUAGUCCACGCCCUAAACGAUGUCAACUAGUUGUUGGGGAUUCAUUUCCUUAGUAACGUAGCUAACGCGUGAAGUUGACCGCCUGGGGAGUACGGUCGCAAGAUUAAAACUCAAAUGAAUUGACGGGGUCAUAGCUG